GACAGUACACAAGCCGCCGCCGCUUCAUUCUUAGCCGUCUCCUUGGUUGGGGUCUGUUGAGUGUGCUCUGCCUGUUCUGGUUUGGUUUCUGAUCACAAUAAGCCCCAGUAGCUAUGUACAAGACUUAUUUUUGGUUUUAGGACUUGCCGCGACAUGUAUGUAUGGGACGAGAUGCAGAUGAGGAUCUAGAGUGCAUCUGAUGAAAGAGGAUUUCCUGCAUGACCCUGCCCUGUUACCACCUGAUAAGAGUGGAGGCAGAGCUGGAUCCUUCAAGGGAAGGGAUAAAGUAUUGCAUCAGCAGUCAGCAUGAACAGGACCAAGAAGAUAAGGAUCAGGUUGGCAAGAUUCGGCUGGUUUUGUCAACUAAAGCAUCCUGCUCCUUGUUAAGUAGUAUAUGCGAAGCCGGUCGCUGUAAAACCAGAAGAUCAAGCGAACCAAUAUAAUAGUGAUCUACUUUG